rnacentral:rRNA from 1 species
UACGUAGGGGGCUAGCGUUGUCCGGAAUCAUUGGGCGUAAAGCGCGUGUAGGCGGCCCGGUAAGUCCGCUGUGAAAGUCGGGGGCUCAACCCUCGGAUGCCGGUGGAUACUGUCGGGCUGGAGUGCGGAAGAGGCGAGUGGAAUUCCUGGUGUAGCGGUGAAAUGUGCAGAUAUCAGGAGGAACACCGACGGCGAAGGCAGCACUCUGGGCCGUAAUUGACGCUGAGGAGCGAAAGCGUGGGGAGCAAACAGG